UACGUAGGGUCCGAGCGUUGUCCGGAAUUACUGGGCGUAAAGAGCUCGUAGGUGGUUUGUCGCGUUGUCCGUGAAAACUCACAGCUCAACUGUGGGCGUGCGGGCGAUACGGGCAGACUGGAGUACUGCAGGGGAGACUGGAAUUCCUGGUGUAGCGGUGGAAUGCGCAGAUAUCAGGAGGAACACCGGUGGCGAAGGCGGGUCUCUUGGCAGUAACUGACGCUGAGACACGAAAGCGUGGGGAGCAAACAGG
rnacentral:rRNA from 1 species